rnacentral:rRNA from 1 species
GUGGGGAAUUUUGGACAAUGGGCGCAAGCCUGAUCCAGCAAUGCCGCGUGCAGGAAGAAGGCCUUCGGGUUGUAAACUGCUUUUGUACGGAACGAAACGGUCCUGGUUAAUACCUGGGGCUAAUGACGGUACCGUAAGAAUAAGCACCGGCUAACUACGUGCCAGCAGCCGCGGUAAUACGUAGGGUGCGAGCGUUAAUCGGAAUUACUGGGCGUAAAGCGUGCGCAGGCGGUGCUGUAAGACAGGCGUGAAAUCCCCGGGCUCAACCUGGGAAUUGCGCUUGGGACUGCAGUGCUGGAGUACGGCAGAGGGGGAUGGAAUUCCGCGUGUAGCAGUGAAAUGCGUAGAUAUGCGGAGGAACACCGAUGGCGAAGGCAGUCCCCUGGGCCUGUACUGACGCUCAUGCACGAAAGCGUGGGGAGCAAACAGGAUUAGAAACCCUAGUAGUCC